GGAGGUAUAAGGUGGGAGCAGAGACAUCCUGACCUAAGUGGUCAGUUCUGGAGGCUGAGCCAGAGCGAACAACAUGCUCAAAGCAAAGGACCUGGCUGAGCAUGCAAGGGCUUGAAGAAUGCUGGAGAUCUCCACCUGUGUGGCUGCUGAUUUAAAAUGGCAGACGGCUCAAAGGUGUUCAAGAAGACCAGCCCCAACAGCAAGCUGUCCAUCUACCUGGGGAAGAGAGAUUUUGUGGAUCAUGUAGAGAAGGUGGACUCUGUAGAUGGUGUCUGUCUGAUCGACCCGGAGUACCUAAAGGACAGGAAAGUGUACGUGACGCUGACUUGCGCCUUUCGCUACGGCCGAGAUGACCUCGACGUUAUUGGGCUGACCUUCAGGAAGGACCUCUACGUCUUGACCACCCAGAUCUUCCCACCAGUGCCAGACCAGGCACCCAAAACCCUCACUCCUUUGCAGGAGAAACUGAUGAAGAAGCUUGGGGAGAAUGCCUACCCCUUCACCUUCGAGAUUGCCACCAACCUGCCCUGCUCAGUAACCCUCCAGCCAGGUCCUGAUGACGUGGGAAAGGCCUGUGGUGUGGACUUCGAGGUCAAAGGAUUUUGUGCUGAAAAUCUGGAGGAGAAAAUUCACAAGAGGAACUCGGUGCGCCUUAUCAUCCGCAAGAUCCAGUUUGCGCCUGUGAACACGGGGCCGGCCCCGAAGUCGGAGACCACUCGGCAGUUCAUGAUGUCUGACAAGCCCCUGCACCUCGAAGCCUCCCUGGAUAAGGAGAUCUACUACCACGGAGACCCUAUCAAUGUGACUGUCAACAUCAACAACACCACCAACAAGAUUGUGAAAAAGAUUAAGCUUUCAGUUGAUCAGGUCACAGACGUUGUCCUCUAUUCGCUGGAUAAAUACACAAAGACUGUGUGCACCGAGGAGAUAAAUGAGACUGUGGCAGCCAAUUCCACCUUCUCCAAAACGUACUCCAUCACUCCCACGCUUGCAGCCAACCGUGAGAAGCGAGGCCUGGCUCUUGAUGGCAAGCUCAAGCAUGAGGACACCAACCUGGCCUCCACCACCAUCCUGAGACCUGGCAUGGACAAGGAAGUGUUGGGCAUCUUGGUGUCCUACAAAGUGAAGGUCAACCUGGUGGUGUCCCGAGGAGGCAUCCUGGGGGAUCUCACUUCCAGGUAAGGGAGAGCUGCCUGCAGGGCUGGCCCGGUGUGGUGCUGGGCAGGUUUGUUGAGAGAAGUCCCUUUCCUUCCAGUGACGUUGGGGUUGAGAUGCCUGUCAUCUUGAUGCACCCGAAGCCUGCGGAUGCGAGGAGGACAUCGUCAUCGAGGAAUUCGCUCGCCAAAAACUCAAGGGGGAGAAAGACGACGAGGAUGAGAAGGAGGAAGCUGAGAAAGAGUAAAGCUACUCUGCUGCCUGCCUGCACGGACAGCCGCCGGCCGCCGGUUUGGGCUGUAGAUGCCCGUAGCGUGUUCCCCGCCGUACCGCAGGCGGUGCAGACCCCUCCGCCCUCU